UACAGAGGGUGCAAACGUUGUUCGGAAUUACUGGGCGUAAAGCGCGUGUAGGCGGCUACGCAAGUCGGAUGUGAAAUCCCGCGGCUCAACCGUGGAAGUGCACUCGAUACUGCGAAGCUAGAGUCCUGGAGAGGAAGGUGGAAUGCUUGGUGUAGAGGUGAAAUUCGUAGAUAUCAAGCGGAACACCGGUGGCGAAGGCGGCCUUCUGGACAGUGACUGACGCUGAGACGCGAAAGCGUGGGGAGCAAACAGGAUUAGAAACCCCCGUAGUCC
rnacentral:rRNA from 1 species